GUCCCCAGCCAUACCAUCUGGAACAUACCUUAUCUCAUCUGAUCACAGAAGCUAAGCAAAGCUGGGCUGGGCUGGGCUUGGCUAGUAUUUGCAUGAAAGAAAGAGAGAAAACCAGGGGGAGACA
ensembl:rRNA 5S_rRNA 5S ribosomal RNA